rnacentral:tRNA from 1 species
GCCCCCGUGGCCUAAUGGUUAGGGCGUGUGACUUCUAUCCUGGAGAUCUCAAGAUUGCGAGUUCGAGUCUCGCCGGGGGCU